GCUUGCCAGUGUGCAGUUCUUUGCAAAACAACGUACGUUCUUUGAACUUAAAACUAAACUUCUUUAGCCGAGUUGCUUUCUUCAGCAACCAAAACAAUGAAGCUGUUCCUGAUCGCUCUCCUUGUGGUUUUAGUGGCAUUUGCCGUAGCCAUGCCCGAGCCUGAGCCUCAGUUCGGGUGGGGACGUGGAUUCGGAGGUUGGGGACGUGGAUACGGUGGUUGGGGACGAGGUUUCGGUGGCUGGGGACGUGGAUACGGAGGUUGGGGACGAGGAUACGGAUAUUGGGGAUGAUGAUUCGGAGGUUUUGGAUUUGGACGUGGAAAAUUUGGACACGGAUUGAUUGUUUGAAUAUAAAUUUCUUCAUAUAUUAUAAAGGCUGUUGGGUUGCAUCCGAGAAGUAUUGCAGGGAUUUCUACACCUAAUUGCCGUCAGUGUACACUGUCUUUAAUUAUGAAAUAUUGUUUUUGACUGUCGAAAUAAUUAGUAUAUUGUGUUGAGAUCAUCGAAAUUAGAGCGUAAAAUCCCUCCAGCACAAGUGUGACUCAAAAAUCAUUACAAUAGUUGAAUAAUGUUUUAGAUAAGACUCAAUCAUGAAGAGCUGUCUAAUAUCUGCAUUCAAAAUUUACUUUAAAAAAAUUCAGCUGAUAUUUUAACUUAACUAACUCCUUCUGCCAAUUUAAUUAGGCUUCACAAGUAGGUUUUUAUUGACUUCUAUGUCCCAUUGACCUAAUCUGUAUACGAUAACUAUCGUGUUCGGAGACUUCUUUUCUGUAGCGCUUUCUUAGGCUGUUUUAGAAGUUCUGAGAUGUGAGGAAUUUAAAAUAAAUCUAAUUUCAAUUAA
rnacentral:lncRNA from 1 species